rnacentral:lncRNA from 12 species
AUGAAGAUGCUCGCCCCGGCUGAGGUCUUUAAUUUACUCGGUCGGCGGUCGGGGCUCCGGAGCGGAGCGUCCGGGACGGCGGGUCGGCGGGUCGGCGGGUCGGGGCCGCGGCGGCUGCGGAAUCCUCCGCGAGCCGAGCCGGUCGGGGGUGGGAUGCGAGAGAAGGGAGCCCGGCGGAAAGGAGCUGAGCGGGCCCGGCCCGGCCCGGCCCGGCCCGGAGCCGCCUUCCCCGUCCCGCCGCGGGGCCCAGGCCUCGGUUUCCGGCCCACCUCGGCCCAGGGGCGCAGCGGGAACCCGUCUCGAGGCCUGGGGGCGAAGGAUUUCGGCUUCCCUGGGCGCCUGGGAGCAAGCGCUGCACCGUACGGGCCUCGGAAGGGGAGAGCAGAAUCGUGGAUAACUUGGGAAACGAGGGAAUUUGGGGGGCAGUCACUGCGGCCUGGCCGGGCCGGGGACGCGGGGCCCGCCCGCUGGGAGCAGCGGGGUGUGCGGCAGGGUGUGCAGCAGGGUGUGCGGCGGGGUGUGCAGCAGGGUGUGCAGCAGGGUGUGCGGCGGGGUGUGCAGCAGGGUGUGCAGCGGGGUGUGCGGCAGGGUGUGCAGCGGGGUGUGCGGCGGGGUGUGCAGCAGGGUGUGCGGCGGGGUGUGCGGCAGGGUGUGCAGCGGGGUGUGCGGCGGGGUGUGCAGCGGGGCGUGCAGCGGGGCCUGCGGCCGGGCUGGCCGGGGACGCCCGCGUCCUCUCCCCGCGGGCCUGACCUUCGCUCCCGGAGCUGCUCGGUCGCGGCGGCCCUGACUGCGCGCUGCCGCUCCAGUCCCAGAGGGCCGGGGCCCGCGGCCAGGCCGUGCUCCGAGAGCCCCGGGGGCGAGGGCCGGGCGGAACCCAGGCUGGAACCCCGCAGCGGCGGGCAAGGCCGAGGCCGAGGCCGAGGCCGAGGUCCACCGCCCUCCUCCCCCGGGCGGGGAGCUUACCCUCGCGCGGGCCGGCGCUCGCUCGCUCGCUCGCUCCCGGGCAGGCCCGGCUCUUCCCUCCGCCGCGCCGCCGGGGGCGUCUACGCAGUACGUUUCGCAACUGCACCCAGCGCGUUUCCAGCUGCGCGCAAAAGCCCGAGAGCGCAUCCGCCGCGGGGCGCUUUGAAGUCCGUGCCCACCGGGGAGACCAAAAAUAAUGCGAAUCGUUAUUGCCAAACAAAAAACAAAAUUGAGCGUCUGCCCCGGUGCAGGCCCGGCCGCUGUGAUUGCUCUCUGCAGAAACCCCCCUUCUAUCCCCACCCCGCCACCCGCGGCACCCCGCCCCCGCCGGGACAGGCUGGGGACGAGUUGCAUCCCCGGACCCGGCUAGAGCCGCUCUCGCAGGGUGGGCUUUCUCUCGGCGAGAACACUGCGGACGACUCUCUCCCUCUUGGCCUCCACGCCUCGGCCUCGUUUCCCCCGCGCGGUAACCUGGGCUCCCCGUCCACGCAGGUCUGCGAGCCGGCGCUGAGUUACCGCGGCCCGAACGGGGCCGGCCCAGGGCGCCCCGAGAGUCGUCGUUCUGAGAGCUCCUCUUUGGAAGACAAGGACCACAAAACAAAACAAAACAAAAAACAAAAAACAAAAAACCAAAAAAAACAAAACCCUUUUUAA